UACGAAGGGGGCUAGCGUUGCUCGGAAUCACUGGGCGUAAAGCGCACGUAGGCGGAUUGCUAAGUCAGGGGUGAAAUCCUGGAGCUCAACUCCAGAACUGCCUUUGAUACUGGCGAUCUUGAGUCCGGGAGAGGUGAGUGGAACUGCGAGUGUAGAGGUGAAAUUCGUAGAUAUUCGCAAGAACACCAGUGGCGAAGGCGGCUCACUGGCCCGGUACUGACGCUGAGGUGCGAAAGCGUGGGGAGCCAAACAGG
rnacentral:rRNA from 1 species